rnacentral:rRNA from 1 species
AGUGAACGCUGGCGGUAGGCCUAACACAUGCAAGUCGAACGGCAGCACAGUAAGAGCUUGCUCUUACGGGUGGCGAGUGGCGGACGGGUGAGGAAUACAUCGGAAUCUACUUUUUCGUGGGGGAUAACGUAGGGAAACUUACGCUAAUACCGCAUACGACCUACGGGUGAAAGCAGGGGAUCUUCGGACCUUGCGCGAUUGAAUGAGCCGAUGUCGGAUUAGCUAGUUGGCGGGGUAAAGGCCCACCAAGGCGACGAUCCGUAGCUGGUCUGAGAGGAUGAUCAGCCACACUGGAACUGAGACACGGUCCAGACUCCUAAGGGAGGCAGCAGUGGGGAAUAUUGGACAAUGGGGGCAAGCCUGAUCCAGCCAUACCGCGUGGGUGAAGAAGGCCUUCGGGUUGUAAAGCCCUUUUGUUGGGAAAGAAAAGCAGCAGGUUAAUACCCCGCUGUUCUGACGGUACCCAAAGAAUAAGCACCGGCUAACUUCGUG